UCGUGACGAAAACCAAAUGGUUAGUUUGAAAACGUAAAACUGCAGGCACAACCGCUUUUUAGCGGAUAAUUCGUGAAUUAAAAAUUGGACGUUUUUGCCGUAUUGUGGGGCACACAAUUAUUCGUUUGGCACUGAAAAAUAACUACAAAAUUGGUAUUUACAUCAUAUAGUUUGGGUACAUACAAUAUUACUGCAAACAUAACAGAUAUCAUGACUGAGAAAUUAAUGGGGAAAGCAUGUUUAUGAUGGUGGCGAAUCGAGAUCGGUGACUUGGGUCGUAAAAAACUAAACCGGUUAGUCACAAAUCUGAAUAGAUCUAAUCUGAUGAAUUCACGAAAACCAUAC